rnacentral:tRNA from 1 species
GGGCAGAUGACCGAAUGGUAAUGGUGGUUCUCUGUAAAAGAAUUGGUCUAGCGACCGCGAGAGGUUCGAUUCCUUUUCUGCUCA